CGGGGCAGCCGCUCAGGCCUUGCGGGUCUUCGCAGCACCCCGCACGCCUACGGGGGCCGGGCAGCAAACAGACUUUGAUCCUCCGAGCUGAGUCCACGUGUCAUCAGGUCAUAAAAAGAGUCACAAGAUCCCACUCCUGGAAGACCACAAGACUGGACUCCCUCUGGCAGUCAAAGUCAUAGAGGCUGGACAUUCUUAAAAUUGCUCCCUGUGGGUAAUUCCACAACCCCUAAGACAACAGAGAAACUAACCGCUCAGUGACCCUCCCUCUCUGGGCUUCCUCCGGCCUGCAUCCAUAGAAGAGAGACCAGGGACUGCUCCCGCUGUGUGACAGACUGCAGCCAGGGAGGGCCGGAGAGGGGGAGCCCGUGGGUGCGGGGUUCCGGGGGCACCCUCCUGUCAAAGAACCGGGAUGAGGCCGCAUCCCUGAGAGGGGAGCCGCGCGUAACUUGGGACUGCUCAACACUGAGCUGAGGAGUCAGACCUUUGGAGCAGUCCCGCAAGCGGCGAGAACUGAAUCAGUACUACACAGCCCGGAUCCUCAUCUUAUAGUUCUGUUCUGCAGUAAAUUUAUAGGAUUUGAUGGUUGAUUGGGAGGGUGAAAACAAAGGAGGAUUUAACAAAGGUAGUUCAAAUGUUUUAACCUGACAAGAAAAAUCCUGCUUUAAACAGGUGAGGAAGUUAGGAGGGAGAGGAACUGAUUUUAAGGGGAAAAUACUGAGCCCGUUUUUAAUGUGCUAAAUUUGCAAUGAGAUCUGGGUGGCGGCAGGGCCAAGGUAUGGACAACGGAUAUUUAUCUGAUCCUAACAUGUAAACACAGCUUCAAUCUUCCAGCCAGCUCCUCCUAUAUAAAAUUGGGGAGCCACUUUUGGGUCAAGACAUCCUAUGGAAAUGGCCCAGAGGCAGUUGGAAGUCCAUUUUGCCACCUCUUGGGAGCUGCUGUGUCCCUUUAUUUUAAAAAUAGAUUUAUCCAAAUGUGAGAAUUUAAUGCCCAAAGAAGAACCAGUAAGGAGAUGGAGAAGGCAGUGGUGCUCAGCGGGACAGCAAUCCCUUCAGUACCUAAGCAAACUGAAUCGGAAGAUGUUUGACCCAUAUAAACACAGGCUCUUAGCGUUCAAUUCAACCCAAUAGUCACUUAUGAGAACCUAUUUUGUGCAGACUUUUCUUUCUCUUGUAAGCGAUUCCACAAUGCACUUUAUUCUCACAGAUAAAGGCGGGGCUGGGGGGGAGGGGGUGCUACAUUUUCCAGGGUAUAAAAUGUUAUAAUCAUGCACUCCACAAAGAGUAAUCCCAUUUACCUGACAGCGAAACAUUUCAGUCUGAUAAACUUUUCCUCCCCCUAGUGCUUUGUAGUCGAAAUACUUUGGUAGCUUGACUGAUACGUACGUACCCUUUUUCAGCUGAGAACGCUUGCACAUUGUUAGCACAGCCAGGAGUGGGUUAAAAUAAAAGAAAGCCAUAGAAUUACUCACCAACCACCCUGGAGGUUGUGGCCCCUGGUUGAAUAAAAUGGUUUGGCUUUUUCUUCCUAAAUCUUGAGAACUCUCCUGAUAAUUUGCUUAGUAUCCAAACUGACUAAACUCAGCAUACUUUAAAGAUGAGAGAAUAAUGCUCCUUUUGGAAAGAGACUGCCAAUUUGAGUGAAAAAUCAAAUGUGUAACACAAACUGCAAUCUCAAAGCCCUCUAAAGGCCUCAUCCCCUCUCAGUGCCACACUCCUCCAAACUGCAAGGGGCCAGUCUGAAGAUUAUCAAUUCAAAAUGUAGGUUGGCUGCAAAGGAUUCUGGCCAAAAAGUCUGCUAAACACGAACACACCUCUGAAUCUUGCUUAUCAAAAAUCAUGACUGCAAGCAUGGAAAAGAAGAAAACCAUGUGAAAACCAGAUUACAUUUGACUUUGGUUCAUGGUCAAUCACUUCUAAUGGUCAAUCUUAAAGCAAAAAUGAUGGAGAAAAUGGA